GAUGAAGAAACGCAGCGAAAUGCGAUAAGUAAUGUGAAUUGCAGAAUUCAGUGAAUCAUCGAAUCUUUGAACGCAUCUUGCGCUCCUUGGUAUUCUGAGGAGCAUGCCUGUUUGAGUGUCAUUAAAUUCUCAACUACACUGACUUUGAAUUGGUGUGGCUUGGAUUUGGGGGGAAAAUUGUUGUGGGCUUUUUGUAUAGUCUGCUCCCCUGAAAUUGAUUAGCGGUACCUUUGUGGAACUGUCUACAGGUGUGAUAAUUAUCUACAUCUUAGACAUCUGCUGGAAUGCUGCUUUCUAAACCUUACUUGUAUUGACAAUCUUGACCUCAAAUCAGGUAGGACUACCCGCUGAACUUAAGCAUAUCAAUAAGCGGAGGA
rnacentral:misc_RNA from 1 species